UAGGGAAUAUUAGUAAUGGGCGAAAGCCUGAACUAGCAACGCCGCGUGUGCGAAGAAGGCCUUCGGGUUGUAAAGCACUUUUUGAGAGGAUGAGGAUGGACGGUACUCUCAGAAUAAGUCUCGGCAAACUACGUGCCAGCAGCCGCGGUAACACGUAGGAGGCGAACGUUAUCCGGAUUUACUGGGCGUAAAGCGCGUGUAGGUGGUUUGGUAAGUAGGGCGUGAAAGCUCCUGGCUCAACUGGGAGAGGCCGUUCUAAACUGCCGAACUAGAGGAUGGUAGAGGGAGGUGGAAUUCCGGGUGUAGCGGUGGAAUGCGCAGAUAUCCGGAGGAACACCAGUGGCGAAAGCGGCCUCCUGGACCACUCCUGACACUCAGACGCGAAAGCUAGGGUAGCAAACGG
rnacentral:rRNA from 1 species